GCGGUGACUCACUAAUGACGUUCUUCCAGUU
rnacentral:piRNA from 1 species